ACGAACGCUGGCGGCAUGCCUCACACAUGCAGGUCGAACGAGACCUUCGGGUCUAGUGGCGCACGGGUGCGUAACGCGUGGGAACCUGCCCUUAGGUUCGGAAUAACUCCCCGAAAGGGGUGCUAAUACCGGAUAAUGUCUUCGGACCAAAGAUUUAUCGCCUUUGGAUGGGCCCGCGUUGGAUUAGCUAGUUGGUAGGGUAAAAGCCUACCAAGGCGACGAUCCAUAGCUGGUCUGAGAGGAUGAUCAGCCACACUGGGACUGAGACACGGCCCAGACUCCUACGGGAGGCAGCAGUGGGGAAUAUUGGACAAUGGGCGAAAGCCUGAUCCAGCAAUGCCGCGUGAGUGAUGAAGGCCUUAGGGUUGUAAAGCUCUUUUACCCGGGAUGAUAAUGACAGUACCGGGAGAAUAAGCUCCGGCUAACUCCGUG
rnacentral:rRNA from 1 species